UCUUUGGAGUGCUGUACAAACGCCAGUAGCCUGUCUUUUUUGGCGGCGAGAGCGAGUACGAUGAACAAGGAA
rnacentral:ncRNA from 1 species